rnacentral:misc_RNA from 1 species
AAUAUUACAGUCUUGUCAUCGUACUGUUUUAGUAACUAUUCACGGGCGAUUACAAACUGGUAGUCCUGAACACAAAGCAUAAACUGUUACCACUUCCUUUAAGUUGACAAAAUCGCAAACUUGAUACUUGGAUGAUAAGUUAUUUCUGCUUCUUCGAUGGCUUAUUCCUAGUCUGCCUUGGUUCAGCCAUUUGCUUGGUGGUCUUCUUCCCCUUUGAUUGUGUUUUACUAGAAAGAUUUUGAUCCUUGUCCUGUUCACUAUCAUCGUCAUCCCCACUAGCAUCAUUAUCGUCGGUGUCUUCCUCAUCAUCACUUUCCUCUAGUUUUCUUUUUGCAGCCGUAUUUGUUCCUCUAGUUUUCUUCUUUUUAUCACCACCUUUUCCCUUGGAGCUUUUGUUUUGUUUUGCUUUUCCAGAUUUCUUUGGAGCUUCAUCGCUAUCAUUUUCAUCAUCACUGUUGCUUUCCUUUGACUUCUUGUUAGUAGAAGCUCUCUUAGUAUUUGCCCCACGCUGCUUCACCUUUGACUUCCCAGCUGCUGUCUCUUCAAUUUCUGGCUCUUCAUCUUGACUAUCACUAUCGUUAUGCUUGAUUUUCUGAACUUUCACCUGUUGCCGUUUACCUGCCGCUUUUGCAGAUUCAGCCCCCGUAUUCUGUUGUAGCUCUGGAACAAAGGCUGAUGUCCUGCCACCUGCCGUGAUGAAUUCUAUUUUCUUCCCAUCAACAAAGGCCUUGCCAGGUUUCUUUUCCCGGGAAUGGGAAAUCCAAUUAGAAGGAUACUGACUACUAUCUGCCUCAACUUCAACAGCUUUUUUGAUGACCUCGUUAAUGCACUUCAGCAAUGUUGCACAGUCCUCUUUGGAUAUGCUUGAAGCGGACUGCAUAGGAUGGAUUCUCGCCUGAUAUAACACUUCAUCUGCAAUCCAGUUGCCAAUUCCUGAAAUAAAACUCUGGUCAAGUAAUAAAGCUUUAAUGCCAAUCUUCUUCUUACUCAAAGCUUUAUAGAACUCGUCUACAGUCAUCGGCUCCAACAAUGCAUCAGGACCAAGCUCAGAUAUUGGAGGAACAGACACCGGAUUCUCCAAUGAGCGAACCCUGGCAAACCGCCUCUUAUCCGUAAAUGAAAGCUCCAGACCAUCAUCCAACUCAAGGAAAACCUUUGAAUACUUGGAAGGCCACUCAUCAUCGUCUUUUACUGCAGACCGUUUAUAUUUUGUAACUGCAACUCCCUUGAUAUAUAUAGCACCCGCCAUUCCGAACUGGAAAGUAGGAAAAGGAGGGGAAUCGAGCUCAAGCCACAUAUUUUUCCCUUUGCGAUUAGCAGCUACGAUAGUUUUGCCCUCAAGAGAUGCUUUCAAAUCCACAGGAGAUACGCCGUCGAUGACCUUGGAAUCG